rnacentral:tRNA from 1 species
CCUUCAGCCGGCCCGACGGGUCGAGCGCCGCCUUUUCGCGGCGGUAGUCGCGGGCUGCGCGGGCUGCGUUCGGACCGUCGCUGAAACUC